rnacentral:rRNA from 1 species
CGCCAGACUCCUACGGGAGGCAGCAGUAGGGAAUUUUCGGCAAUGGGGGGAACCCUGACCGAGCAACGCCGCGUGAACGAAGAAGUUAUUCGUAAUGUAAAGUUCUUUUAUCAGGGAAGAAAGAGGAAUUUGACGGUACCUGAGGAAUAAGCUCCGGCUAACUACGUGCCAGCAGCCGCGGUAAUACGUAGGGAGCAAGCGUUAUCCGGAUUUAUUGGGUGUAAAGGGUGCGUAGACGGGAAAUUAAGUUAGUUGUGAAAUCCCUCGGCUCAACUGAGGAACUGCAACUAAAACUGGUUUUCUUGAGUGUUGGAGAGGAAAGCGGAAUUCCUAGUGUAGCGGUGAAAUGCGUAGAUAUUAGGAGGAACACCAGUGGCGAAGGCGGCUUUCUGGACAAUAACUGACGUUGAGGCACGAAAGUGUGGGGAGCAAACAGGAUUAGAUACCCUCGUACUA